UACGGAUGAUGCAAGCGUUAUCCGGAAUGAUUGGGCGUAAAGCGUCCGCAGGUGGCUGUGUAAGUCUGCUGUCAAAGAGCAAAGCUCAACUUUGUAAAGGCAGUGGAAACUACACGGCUAGAGUGCGUUCGGGGCAGAGGGAAUUCCUGGUGUAGCGGUGAAAUGCGUAGAGAUCAGGAAGAACACCGGUGGCGAAGGCGCUCUGCUAGGCCGCAACUGACACUGAGGGACGAAAGCUAGGGGAGCGAAUGGG
rnacentral:rRNA from 1 species